AGUCUAGCCUGCUCACUGAUAUUAAUAUUAAAUAGCCGCGGUAUUUUGACCGUGCAAAGGUAGCAUAAUCAUUAGUUUUUUAAUUGAAAACUGUAUGAAUGGUUGGACAAGGAAAAACCUGUCUCUUUUAUUAAAUUUGAAAUUAACUUUUAAGUGAAAAGGCUUAAAUACUUUAAAGGGACGAUAAGACCCUAUAAAGCUUUAUAAAUUUAAAGAUUUUAUGCAUUUUUCUAUAUUAAUAAUUUCUUGAUUAUUUAUUUGGUUGGGGCGACAAGAGUAUAACAAUAGUAACUGCUUUCAAGUGUUUCAAAUAUGUUUGAAUUAAAUUGAUAAUUGAUCCUUAAUAAAGAUUUUAAGAUCAAGUUACUUUAGGGAUAACAGCGUUAUUUUUCCUGAGAGUCCUUAUCGAAGGAAAACUUUGCGACCUCGAUGUUGAAUUAAAAUGUCUAUAUAGUGCAGCAGCUAUAUAAGAAGGUCUGUUCGACCUUUAAUUUUUUACAUGAUUUGAGUUCAGACCGGCGAGAGCCAGGUCGGUUUCUAUCUUUUGGAAUGAGAAAAAUUUACUUUAGUACGAAAGGAUUAAGUAAAUAAAAGUUUUUUAAAAGUUGAAAU
rnacentral:rRNA from 1 species